GGAUUUGUGAUGACUUCCUCAUGUGCAUUCCUUGGAAAUCUAAGCAAAAUGAGUGAGAACUCCUACUGUAUUUCUCAUUUGAACUGGGGCCC